rnacentral:snRNA from 1 species
GUGCUCACUUUGGUAGCACAUAUACUAAAACUGGAGUGACACAGAGGAGAUUAGCAUGGCCCCUGUGCAAGGAUGACACGCAAAUUCCUGAAGCAUUCCAUAUAUAU